rnacentral:rRNA from 1 species
AUGCAUGUCUAAGUAUAAGCACUUGUACUGUGAAACUGCGAAUGGCUCAUUAAAUCAGUUAUCGUUUAUUUGAUUGUACCUUACUACAUGGAUACCUGUGGUAAUUCUAGAGCUAAUACAUGCGAAAAGUCCCGACUUCUGGAAGGGAUGUAUUUAUUAGAUUAAAAGCCAAUGCGGGUCAAACCGUCCACUUGGUGAUACAUGAUAACUUAUCGAAUCGCAUGGCCCAGCGCCGGCGAUAUUUCAUUCAAAUUUCUGCCCUAUCAACUUUCGAUGGUAAGGUAGUGGCUUACCAUGGUCGUAACGGGUGACGGAGAAUUAGGGUUCGAUUCCGGAGAGGGAGCCUGAGAAACGGCUACCACA